rnacentral:rRNA from 1 species
UACGAGAGGCCCAAACGUUAUUCGGAUUUACUGGGCUUAAAGAGUUCGUAGGCGGCUUGGCAAGUGGGGUGUGAAAUCCCUUGGCUCAACCAAGGAAUUGCGCUUCAAACUGCUAGGCUCGAGGGAGAUAGAGGUGAGCGGAACUGAUGGUGGAGCGGUGAAAUGCGUUGAUAUCAUCAGGAACACCAGAGGCGAAGGCGGCUCACUGGGUCUCUUCUGACGCUGAGGAACGAAAGCGUGGGGAGCAAACAGG